CAUUUCGAUGCCUCGGGCUAGAUUGUGCAAAUUGGACAGAGCCAAUAUAUGCUGAUUUGGUGAGGAAAGCUCGUGGUGAUGAGGAAAGGAUGUUGGUAAUAUUCUUUGACAGGGUAUGCUCUGUUUCUUCCCCUAGCUCUAGAGACUGACCAAGGGAAGCCAUACUCUAAGUAUCAUUUUAUGGAUUCCUAGCUCUAGGGUUCUGCAUAUAUAAUUGUCCUUGGAUUUUUUUUUCUGAAAGUUUAGAUUGCUAAACACUUCCCAAGCAAUACAGGACUCAAGUAAUCUAGAAAUAAGUAAACGUAAACUUUUUUUUAUCUCAUAAACUUAUUAAUAUGUCACAGGCCAAUUUUGGGUUCUGCAUAUAAUUGUCCUUGGAUUUUUUUUCUGAAAGUUUAGAUUGCUAAACACUUCCCAAGCAAUACAGGACUCAAGUAAUCUAGAAAUAAGUAUAUGUCACAGGCCAAUUUUGGACCCUAUUGCUUCCAUAUUCCACAAACUUUUUUGUGGGCGAUCUGCAAGACCUAAAGGCACAGGCCAGACAUUGGAUGGAUACAAUUCCCUGGUUCUGGCUCCAUUGAGGCAAACAGGAGGAGAGAAAGGGGUCAGAGGGCAGUGGAGCAGAGACUGGCAGAGAAGCUGGCCGCGGUCAGGAAUACGGAGGGCACGCCUCCGCCGAAGCAGCAGCAGGAGGACGCGGAGGAUUUGGCACCUGUCAACACUGCAGAGUUGCAAAUUACACAAGUAGUAGAAGAAGCACAAUGGAAUUCACAACCGAACCUCCGAUCCAUGCAUAUACAACGAUGAGGAAAGCAAGAUACGAAGGAAAGACCUGACGAAGCCGACGUGAUUCAGUCGAUGACUUCAAUCCCAAGCGCGGCGAUCGCUGGAAGACGGAGGUGGAUCGCGCGACCUAGCGGAUCUAGCUGCGGCACCAGCCCGUCCAUGGCCAGUGCAUCGCGCGACCUAGCCGAUAUAGCUGCGUCACCCAGCCGGCCGGGCGCCAGUUGUAGGAGGUGGAAAUUGUGUAUUCAAAAAUUCGAUUGACGGGAGUUUUUUUAGUAUUGACGGAAAAUUUCGAUUGACGGGAGGCUAAAUUCGAUUCACGGGAGGCUGAGGAGAGGUUCAGGUUUUUAGUAA